rnacentral:rRNA from 1 species
CCUACGGGAGGCAGCAGUGAGGAAUAUUGGUCAAUGGACGCAAGUCUGAACCAGCCAUGCCGCGUGAAGGAAGACGGCCCUAUGGGUUGUAAACUGCUUUUAUACGAGAGUAAACGCAGAUACGCGUAUCUGUCUGAAAGUAUCGUACGAAUAAGGAUCGGCUAACACCGUGCCAGCAGCCGCGGUAAUACGGAGGAUUCAAGCGUUAUCCGGAUUUAUUGGGUUUAAAGGGUGCGUAGGCGGGUGGAUAAGUUAGUGGUGAAAGCCUGCGGCUCAACUGUGGAAUUGCCUUUGAUACUGUCAGGCUAGAGAGUAGUUGCGGUAGGCGGAAUGUAUGGUGUAGCGGUGAAAUGCUUAGAGAUCACACAGAACACCGAUUGCGAAGGCAGCUUACUAAGCUACUUCUGACGUUGAGGCACGAAAGCGUGGGGAGCAAACAGGAUUAGAUACCCCAGUAGUC